rfam:Photobacterium gaetbulicola Gung47 chromosome 2, complete sequence.
GGGUCCGUAGCUCAGUUGGUUAGAGUACUACCUUGACAUGGUAGGGGUCGGCGAUUCGAGUUCGCCCGGACCCA